rnacentral:rRNA from 1 species
AACCUCCGCAAUGUGAGAAAUCGCGACGGGGGGAUCCCAAGUGCCAUUCUUAACGGGAUGGCUUUUCAUUAGUGUAAAAAGCUUUUGGAAUAAGAGCUGGGCAAGACCGGUGCCAGCCGCCGCGGUAACACCGGCAGCUCUAGUGGUAGCAAUUUUUAUUGGGCCUAAAGCGUCCGUAGCCGGUUUAAUAAGUCUCUGGUGAAAUCCUGUAGCUUAACUGUGGGAAUUGCUGGAGAUACUAUUAGACUUGAGACCGGGAGAGGUUAGAGGUACUCCCAGGGUAGAGGUGAAAUUCUGUAAUCCUGGGAGGACCGCCUGUUGCGAAGGCGUCUAACUGGAACGGUUCUGACGGUGAGGGACGAAAGUUAGGGGCGCGGACCGGAUUAGAUACCCGGGUAGUCCUAACUGUAAACGAUGCGGACUUGGUGUUGGGGUGGCUUUGAGCUGCUCCAGUGCCGAAGGGAAGCUGUUAAGUCCGCCGCCUGGGAAGUACGGUCGCAAGACUGAAACUUAAAGGAAUU